CAGCAGCCGCGGGAAUACGUAGGGUGCAAGCGUUAAUCGGAAUUACUGGGCGUAAAGCGUGCGCAGGCGGUUAUAUAAGUCAGAUGUGAAAUCCCCGGGCUCAACCUGGGAACUGCACUUGAGACUGUAUGGCUAGAGUGUGUCAGAGGGGGGUAGAAUUCCACGCGUAGCAGUGAAAUGCGUAGAUAUGUGGAGGAAUACCGAUGGCGAAGGCAGCCCCCUGGGAUAACACUGACGCUCAUGCACGAAAGCGUGGGGAGCAAACAGGAUUAGAUACCCCAGUAGUCCCUGUCUCUUAUAC
rnacentral:rRNA from 1 species